GUUAAGAAACCAUGUAAUUCGUUGAGACUAAUGCAAAGGCCCUGGACUGAUUGUGUUUUAUGAUGUUCUUGGGUUGAUCGUGUCCAAAGGAUGUGACUAAUUUACCAUUAAAUCCGCAGUAUAUUGUCUACACGUCUUGAAUUGGUAAAUCCUUUCUGUGUCUUCUUUCGGCUGCUCCCGUUAGUGGUUGCCACAGCAGAUCAUCUUUUUCCUUCUCUUCCUGUCCUCGUCAUCUUUCUCUGUCACUCCCAUCAAUACAAUACAGUUUAUUUUUGUAUAGCCCAAAAUCACACAAGAAGUGCAGCAAUGGGCUUUAACAGGCCCUGCCUCUUGACAGCCCCCCAGCCUUGACUGUCUAAGAAGACAAGGAAAAACUCCCAGAAAAAAAUGGAAGAAACCUUGGGACAGGCAGUUCAAAGAGAGACCCCUUUCAAGAGUCCUGGAGACCUCAUCCAUCAAGCUGCCUCCUCCUAUUGGCCAUUCCACAGCUGAGACAGUGCUGGGCCCGCCAAUCCGAUGAAAGGACCCCUCUAAGCCACGAUUCCUGCGAUCCUCCAUCAGGGAUGACUUUACCUUAGGCAGGCAAAACAACUUGACAGGUGGGCCGAGUACCGAGAAGAGAAACAGAAUAGGUGAAGACUGGAAGAUUGACGACCUUAACACCAGUGACGCCACUUCCGGUGUCUGCCUGCCUGGUCCCGCCCCCUUUCUACCAGGAAUCCUUUAUUCCGGAAGUUCCGCCAUCUUGCAUCAAUCUGUUUGAAGACUCACGGCGACAUUACAUCUAUUUCUAUUUUUUGAUGCUUUUAUAG